rnacentral:rRNA from 1 species
UUAUGCGAUAACCUGGUGUGAAUUGCAGAAUUCAGUGAAUCAUCGAAUCUUUGAACGCAUCUUGCGCUCCUUGGUAUUCCGAGGAGCAUGCCUGUUUGAGUGUCAUUAAAUUCUCAACUCUCUUGUACUUUUUUGUAAAGGAGAGCUUGGAUUGUGGAGGCUUGCUGGUCACUUAAUUGAGGUCAGCUCCUCUGAAAUGCAUUAGCGGAACCGUUUGCGAUCUGCCACAAGUGUGAUAAGUUAUCUGCACUGGUGAGGCAAUUGCUCUCUGUGUUGUUCAGCUUCUAACUGUCUCAGUCUGUCGAGACAACUUUUUGAAUGCUUGACCUCAAAUCAGGUAGGACUACCCGCUGAACUUAAGCAUAUCAAUAAGCGGAGGAA